rfam:Triticum aestivum genome assembly, contig: Triticum_aestivum_CS42_TGACv1_scaffold_221154_3B
UACGUACUCCCUCCGUCCGGAAAUACUUGUUGAAAGAAUGGAUGUAUCUAGAUGUAUUUUAAUUUUAGAUACAUUUUUUUUGAAACGAAGUUCUAGAUACAUUCAUUUUUAUGCAUUUCUCCGACAAGUAUUUUCGGAUGGAGGAAGUACAAC